rnacentral:tRNA from 1 species
CGGGGCGUAGCGCAGUCUGGUAAGCGCGCCUGCUUCGGGAGCAGGAGGUCGGAGGUUCAAAUCCUCUCGCCCCGACCA